AGAGUUUGAUCCUGGCUCAGGAUGAACGCUGGCGGCGUGCCUAAUACAUGUAAGUCGAACGGAAGAUGUAGCAAUAUGUCUUUAGUGGCGAACGGGUGAGUAACGCGUUGGUGACCUGCCCCGAAGAGAGGGAUAACAGACCGAAAGGUUUGCUAAUACCGCGUAAUUUCCUUCUAGUUAGAGAGGAGGGAAGAAAGGCCGAAAGGCGCUUUGGGAGGGGCCUGCGUCCCAUCAGCUAGUUGGCGAGGUAAAAGCUCACCAAGGCGAUGACGGGUAGGGGACCUGAGAGGGUGACCCCCCACAAUGGAACUGAAACACGGUCCAUACACCUACGGGUGGCAGCAGUAGGGAAUAUUGGUUAAUGGGCGAAAGCCCGACCCAGCAACGCCGCGUGCACGAAGGAGGCCUUCGGGUUGUAAAGUGCUUUUUAGUGGGAUGAGGAAGGACAGUACCACUAGAAUAAGUCUCGGCUAACUACGUGCCAGCAGCCGCGGUAACACGUAGGAGACGAGCGUUAUCCGGAUUUACUGGGUGUAAAGCGCGUGCAGGCGGUCGGGUAAGUUGGAUGUGAAAGCUCCUGGCUUAACUGGGAGAGGUCGUUCAAAACUGCCGGGCUAGAGUGCAACAGAGGGGAGUGGAAUUCCGAGUGUAGCGGUAAAAUGCAUAGAUAUUCGGAAGAACACCAGUGGCGAAGGCGGCUCUCUGGGUUGCAACUGACGCUCAGACGCGAAAGCUAGGGUAGCGAACGGGAUUAGAGACCCCGGUAGUCCUAGCCGUAAACGAUGUGGACUUGGCGUGGGUGGGUUGAAAUCCAUCUGUGCCGAAGCACACGCGAUAAGUCCACCACCUGGGGACUACGGGCCGCAAGGUUAAAACUCAAAGGAAUUG
rnacentral:rRNA from 1 species